rnacentral:rRNA from 1 species
ACGCUGGCGGCAGGCCUAACACAUGCAAGUCGAGCGGAAACGACACUAACAAUCCUUCGGGUGCGUUAAUGGGCGUCGAGCGGCGGACGGGUGAGUAAUGCCUAGGAAAUUGCCUUGAUGUGGGGGAUAACCAUUGGAAACGAUGGCUAAUACCGCAUAAUGCCUACGGGCCAAAGAGGGGGAUCUUCGGACCUCUCGCGUCAAGAUAUGCCUAGGUGGGAUUAGCUAGUUGGUGAGGUAAUGGCUCACCAAGGCGACGAUCCCUAGCUGGUCUGAGAGGAUGAUCAGCCACACUGGAACUGAGACACGGUCCAGACUCCUACGGGAGGCAGCAGUGGGGAAUAUUGCACAAUGGGCGAAAGCCUGAUGCAGCCAUGCCGCGUGUAUGAAGAAGGCCUUCGGGUUGUAAAGUACUUUCAGUUGUGAGGAAGGGUGURWMGUUAAUAGCKKYRYMUCUUGACGUUAGCAACAGAAGAAGCACCGGCUAACUCCGUGCCAGCAGCCGCGGUAAUACGGAGGGUGCGAGCGUUAAUCGGAAUUACUGGGCGUAAAGCGCAUGCAGGUGGUUCAUUAAGUCAGAUGUGAAAGCCCGGGGCUCAACCUCGGAACUGCAUUUGAAACUGGUGAACUAGAGUGCUGUAGAGGGGGGUAGAAUUUCAGGUGUAGCGGUGAAAUGCGUAGAGAUCUGAAGGAAUACCAGUGGCGAAGGCGGCCCCCUGGACA